AACUUUUUUUUUAACUCCUGCAAGGAGCUUCAAGUGCUGAAGCUUUGAGGAGCUCUAUGAAAAAUUCCAAAAGAGUGCUUCUUGCACUGCCAUUUUUGCUUUGAAUUACAUAACGUCUAUACAUUUGUGAAAGUAGCUGGAAAUUGGACUGGGAACACAAAGGGCAGGCAGUUGUAGGCACACAAUAAUUUUUCAGGGUAUUAUGGCCACAAUGAAAUUUCUACAUUCCCUGCCACACAUCAAUGGAUUUGCACAAGUCACAGAGAUGAGCAUUUUAGUCACUUGAUCUGCGGGAAUCCACGUAACUCUCACAUGCCUGAUUUGAGCAAAAAUGCACUGAACACAAGUUCUUAGACGUUGCCUUUUGCCUUGCUGGCAGUUGCCUAAGCUCAAGCAUUCUUAGGUUAGUCAUAUUCCUGAAUGAUCUGAAAGAUUAGCAUUAAAAAUUUGAAGAUGAACACAAAUGAACGCUUAUGGCGUUUUUGCACACAGGCACGAUUGUGUAAUGAUACUUUGUAUUAUGGCUAAUGACAAAACAGAAUACAGACGGCCAUAUUAAGUUUAUAGCGGGCACGGUUAAGCAUUUUAUCAUGGAGCAUCAAAUGCAAAUCCUGUGAAACAGAAACAACACUCUUGUAGUUUUACAUUGAUGUGAAAUGUGGUUGAGAUGGUAACUGAGAUCAGAACGAAGUAAACCUUAGAGCUUUUUGAUGGUUUAAUAGCACUCAGAUUUUGAGGGUAGCUACAUUUUUAUUGGUAAUCUAUUAUUUAUAUGUAUCUGUGCUGGGAUUUCUCACAGAUGGCUUUUAGUGUCUGUAAUGUUCUUUAUGCUAUAAAAUUGUCAUUUGCAUUUGUGAGACAUAUUUCUUCCUGUACACCAGUAAAAUAUUCUUUUCCACUUAAUAAAUUGUGGCAGUGGA